AUCUUUGCCCACGCCCCACUGACUGUUACCACUACUACUACGUUAACUUUUACAUGGACAUGGCGGCAGUAGUUCAACCAUACAUGUUUGAACCAGAAUCGGAUCCUGAAGGAGGGGAGUCUCCUGCAGAACCUGAGACUCAGAGAAUUCAGCAAGACGCUUCUGAAUGGUGCACAUGUGGAAAUUGUGCAACAAUGCCGUCAGAGUCUGAGAACUUAUGCUGCCAGGAGGUACCACAGGUUACAAGACGACUGCAACAGCUGGAAGAAAGGCCUCCAUGUAUGAUAGACC